AUUGAACGCUGGCGGCAUGCCUUACACAUGCAAGUCGAACGGUAACAGGUCUUUGGAUGCUGACGAGUGGCGAACGGGUGAGUAAUACAUCGGAACGUGCCUAGUAGUGGGGGAUAACUACUCGAAAGAGUGGCUAAUACCGCAUGAGAUCUACGGAUGAAAGCAGGGGAUCGCAAGACCUUGUGCUACUAGAGCGGCCGAGGGCAGAUUAGGUAGUUGGUGGGAUAAAAGCUUACCAAGCCGACGAUCUGUAGCUGGUCUGAGAGGACGAUCCGCCACACCGGGACUGAGACACGGCCCAGACUCCUACGGGAGGCAGCAGUGGGGAAUUUUGGACAAUGGGCGCAAGCCUGAUCCAGCAAUGCCGCGUGCAGGAUGAAGGCCUUCGGGUUGUAAACUGCUUUUGUACGGAACGAAAAGCCCUGGGUUAAUACCCUGGGGUCAUGACGGUACCGUAAGAAUAAGCACCGGCUAACUACGUGCCAGCCGCCGCAGUAAAAC
rnacentral:rRNA from 1 species